GAGUGCUGAAGAUAUCCUUACAAUAAAGCAUGAAGGUGAAUGUACAGAAGUCACUCAUGAAAUGGCUGAUUGCAGCAAGUAUCACCAGACCAGAGGACAUGUCCUUUGCAAAACAAGCCCUCCAGAAGUUUGUGGCACAGAUGGUGUGACAUAUAAGAAUGAAUGCAUGCUCUGUGAUCAGAUUCUGAAUACUAAAUCUGAGAUUGGCAUAAAGAAUAUAGGACCGUGUCCUGAG